UGACCGCUGGCGGCGUGCCUACUACAUGCAAGUCGAGCGAACAGACGCGGAGCUUGCUCCUCUGACGUUAGCGGCGGACGGGUGAGUAACACGUGGAUAACCUACCUAUAAGACUGGGAUAACUUCGGGAAACCGGAGCUAAUACCGGAUAAUAUAUUGAACCGCAUGGUUCAAUAGUGAAAGACGGUUUUGCUGUCACUUAUAGAUGGAUCCGCGCCGCAUUAGCUAGUUGGUAAGGUAACGGCUUACCAAGGCAACGAUGCGUAGCCGACCUGAGAGGGUGAUCGGCCACACUGGAACUGAGACACGGUCCAGACUCCUACGGGAGGCAGCAGUAGGGAAUCUUCCGCAAUGGGCGAAAGCCUGACGGAGCAACGCCGCGUGAGUGAUGAAGGUCUUCGGAUCGUAAAACUCUGUUAUUAGGGAAGAACAAAUGUGUAAGUAACUAUGCACGUCUUGACGGUACCUAAUCAGAAAGCCACGGCUAACUACGUG
rnacentral:rRNA from 1 species